CAGUAGCCGCGGUAAUACGGAGGGGGCUAGCGUUGUUCGGAAUUACUGGGCGUAAAGCGCACGUAGGCGGCUUUGUAAGUCAGAGGUGAAAGCCCGGGGCUCAACCCCGGAAUUGCCUUUGAGACUGCAUCGCUUGAAUCCAGGAGAGGUGAGUGGAAUUCCGAGUGUAGAGGUGAAAUUCGUAGAUAUUCGGAAGAACACCAGUGGCGAAGGCGGCUCACUGGACUGGUAUUGACGCUGAGGUGCGAAAGCGUGGGGAGCAAACAGGAUUAGAUACCCCAGUAGUCCCUGUCUCUUAUAC
rnacentral:rRNA from 1 species